AGAGUUUGAUCAUGGCUCAGGAUGAACGCUAGCUACAGGCUUAACACAUGCAAGUCGAGGGAAACGAUAUUGAAAGCUUGCUUUCUUUAGGCGUCGACCGGCGAAUGGGUGAGUAACGCGUAUCCAACCUGCCCCUGAGUAGGGGAUAGCCCAUCGAAAGAUGGAUUAAUGCCCUAUGGUUUCCUUUGAAGGCAUCUGAUUAGGAAUAAAGAUUUAUCGCUGAGGGAUGGGGAUGCGUCUGAUUAGCUUGUUGGCGGGGUAACGGCCCACCAAGGCGACGAUCAGUAGGGGUUCUGAGAGGAAGGUCCCCCACAUUGGUACUGAGACACGGACCAAACUCCUACGGGAGGCAGCAGUGAGGAAUAUUGGUCAAUGGGCGCAAGCCUGAACCAGCCAAGUAGCGUGCAGGAAGACUGCCCUAUGGGUUGUAAACUGCUUUUAUACGGGGAUAAAGUCAGAGUCGUGACUCUGUUUGCAGGUACCGUAUGAAUAAGGACCGGCUAAUUCCGUGCCAGCAGCCGCGGUAAUACGGAAGGUCCAGGCGUUAUCCGGAUUUAUUGGGUUUAAAGGGAGCGUAGGCCGGAGAUUAAGUGUGUUGUGAAAUUUAGGCGCUCAACGUCUGCACUGCAGCGCAUACUGGUUUUCCUUGAGUACACGCAACGUUGGCGGAAUUCGUCGUGUAGCGUGAAAUGCUUAGAUAUGACGAAGAACUCCGAUUGCGAAGGGCAGCUGACGGGGAGU
rnacentral:rRNA from 1 species